rnacentral:rRNA from 1 species
UACGGGGGGGGCAAGCGUUGUUCGGAAUUACUGGGCGUAAAGGGCUCGUGGGCGGCCAACUAAGUCGGACGUGAAAUCCCUCGGCUUAACCGGGGAACUGCGUCCGAUACUGGAUGGCUUGAGUUUGGGAGAGGGAUGCGGAAUUCCAGGUGUAGCGGUGAAAUGCGUAGAUAUCUGGAGGAAUACCGGUGGCGAAGGCGGCAUCCUGGACCGACAUUGACGCUGAGGAGCGAAAGCUAGGGGAGCAAACGGG